rnacentral:tRNA from 1 species
GCCUGGCUGGCUUAGUCAGUAGAGCGUGCGACUCUAGAUCUUGGGGUUGUGAGUUCCAGUCUCACAUUGGGUG